UUGAACGCUGGCGGCAUGCUUUACACAUGCAAGUCGAACGGCAGCACGGGGGCAACCCUGGUGGCGAGUGGCGAACGGGUGAGUAAUAUAUCGGAACAUAUCCGGGAGUGGGGGAUAACGUAGCGAAAGUUACGCUAAUACCGCAUAUGCCCUGAGGGGGAAAGUGGGGGAUCGCAAGACCUCACGCUUUCGGAGUGGCCGAUAUCGGAUUAGCUAGUUGGUGGGGUAAAGGCCUACCAAGGCGACGAUCUGUAGCGGGUCUGAGAGGAUGAUCCGACACACUGGGACUGAGACACGGCCCAGACUCCUACGGGAGGCAGCAGUGGGGAAUUUUGGACAAUGGGCGAAAGCCUGAUCCAGCCAUGCCGCGUGCGGGAAGAAGGCCUUCGGGUUGUAAACCGCUUUCAGCCGGAAAGAAAUCGCCACUUCUAAUACGAGUGGUGGAUGACGGUACCGGAAGAAGAAGCACCGGCUAACUACGU
rnacentral:rRNA from 1 species